GACGAACGCUGGCGGCGUGCUUAACACAUGCAAGUCGAACGGAAAGGCCCUGCUUGCAGGGUGCUCGAGUGGCGAACGGGUGAGUAACACGUGGGUGAUCUGCCCCUUAUUUUGGGAUAAGCCUGGGAAACUGGGUCUAAUACUGGAUAGGACCAUGCUGUAGGUGGUGUGGUGGAAAGAUUAGUUUCGGUAAGGGAUGAGCUCGCGGCCUAUCAGCUUGUUGGUGGGGUAAUGGCCUACCAAGGCGUCGACGGGUAGCCGGCCUGAGAGGGUGGACGGCCACAUUGGGACUGAGAUACGGCCCAGACUCCUACGGGAGGCAGCAGAGGGGAAUAUUGCACAAUGGGCGCAAGCCUGAUGCAGCGACGCCGCGUGGGGGAUGACGGCCUUCGGGUUGUAAACCCCUUUCAGCCAUGACGAAGCCCUUGUGGUGACGGUAGUGGUAGAAGAAGCACCGGCUAACUACGUG
rnacentral:rRNA from 1 species